GACGAACGCUGGCGGCGUGCUUAACACAUGCAAGUCGAACGGGCUCUGUCUGGCUGUGUGCUGGGUGGGGUUAGUGGCGAACGGGUGAGUAAUACGUGAGUAACCUGCCCUCUUCUUUGGGAUAAGCCUUGGAAACGGGGUCUAAUACUGGAUAUUCCUGUCUGGUCGCAUGGCUGGGUGGGGAAAGGUUUUUUCGGUGGGGGAUGGGCUCGCGGCCUAUCAGCUUGUUGGUGGGGUGAUGGCCUACCAAGGCGUCGACGGGUAGCCGGCCGGAGAGGGUGACCGGCCACACUGGGACUGGGAUACGGCCCAGACUCCUACGGGAGGCAGCAGUGGGGGAUAUUGCACAAUGGGCGCAAGCCUGAUGCAGCGACGCCGCGUGGGGGAUGACGGCUUUCGGGUUGUAAACCUCUUUCGUCGGGGGACAAGGCUCUGCUUGGUGGUGGGGUUGAGGGUACCCGGUGAAGAAGCGCCGGCUAACUACGUG
rnacentral:rRNA from 1 species